AUGGCUGUCGUCAGCUCGUGUCGUGAGAUGUUGGGUUAAGUCCCGCAACGAGCGCAACCCUUAUUCUAUGUUGCCAGCGCGUAAUGCCGGGGACUCGUAGGAGACUGCCGGGGUCAACUCGGAGGAAGGUGGGGACGACGUCAAGUCAUCAUGCCCCUUACGUCCAGGGCUGCACACAUGCUACAAUGGCUGGUACAACGGGCUGCUAAUCCGCGAGGAGGAGCCAAUCCCCAAAGCCAGUCUCAGUUCGGAUCGUAGUCUGCAACUCGACUGCGUGAAGUCGGAGUCGCUAGUAAUCCCGGAUCAGCAACGCCGGGGUGAAUACGUUCCCGGGCCUUGUACACACCGCCCGUCACACCACGAAAGUCGGUAACACCCGAAGCCGGUGGCCCAACCUUAGGGAGGGAGCCGUCGAAGGUGGGAUUGGUGAUUGGGGUGAAGUCGUAACAAGGUAGCCGUACCGGAAGGUGCGGCUGGAUCACCUCCUUUCUAAGGAGUGAUGUCAGCUAUUCAUGCUGACCACUACCCAGUUGAACACUGGCUACUCGGUUUCAUCUGUAAACCAGCAGAUGGUGAGCCGCCUUCGAUAAUCCUUAGGGAUACGUCGAAGCCCGUUCACCACGGUCAUGGUCCCUGCAGGUGGUAUCGGACCCUCGCUAUUCCGUUUUGAGGGAGCGGCCUUCGGGUCGUAUCCCGGUGAAGUCCUACCUGCUGCGCUUUUUUGCGCCGGAUAUGACCGCUCCCCCGUGCGUGCCUUGAUCAUGGCGUGUUUUGCCGUGAGCCUGGUGUGUGCCGUUCAGCCCCUUGAGAAUUCCAAAGCGAGCACGAGCAUCUUUGUUCUCCAAGCUACAAAGAGCCAACGGUGGAUGCCUUGGCGCCUAAAGCCGAAGAAGGACGUGGGCGACUGCGAAAAGCCACGAGGAGCUGUCUACCUAGCUUUGAUCCGUGGAUGUCCGAAUGGGGAAACCCGG
rnacentral:sRNA from 1 species